rnacentral:rRNA from 1 species
UGUGUAGGUGGCGCCGUAAGUCGGGUGUGAAAUUUCGGAGCUUAACUCCGAAACUGCAUUCGAUACUGCGGUGCUUGAGGACUGGAGAGGAGACUGGAAUUCAUGGUGUAGCAGUGAAGUGCGUAGAGAUCAUGAGGAAGACCAGUGGCGAAGGCGGGUCUCUGGACAGUUCCUGACACUGAGACACGAAGGCCAGGGGAGCAAACG